rnacentral:rRNA from 1 species
CAGUCGCCGCGGUAAUACGAAGGGGGCAAGCGUUGUUCGGAUUUACUGGGCGUAAAGCGUACGUAGGCGGCUUCUUAAGUCGGAUGUGAAAUCCCUGAGCUUAACUUAGGAAUUGCAUUCGAUACUGGGAAGCUAGAGUAUGGGAGAGGAUGGUAGAAUUCCAGGUGUAGCGGUGAAAUGCGUAGAGAUCUGGAGGAAUACCGAUGGCGAAGGCAGCCAUCUGGCCUAAUACUGACGCUGAGGUACGAAAGCAUGGGGAGCAAACAGGAUUAGAUACCCCCGUAGUCCCUGUCUCUUAUAC